rnacentral:rRNA from 1 species
GGGUGCGAUCAUACCAGCACUAAAGCACCGGAUCCCAUCAGAACUCCGAAGUUAAGCAUGCUUGGGCGAGAGUAGUACUAGGAUGGGUGACCUCCUGGGAAGUCCUCGUGUUGCACCCCU